rnacentral:rRNA from 1 species
UACGGGGGGGGCAAGCGUUGUUCGGAAUUACUGGGCGUAAAGGGCUCGUAGGCGGCCAACUAAGUCCGACGUGAAAUCCCAAGGCUUAACCUUGGAACUGCGUCGGAUACUGGAUGGCUUGAAUUCGGGAGAGGGAUGCAGAAUUCCAGGUGUAGCGGUGAAAUGCGUAGAUAUCUGGAGGAAUACCGGUGGCGAAGGCGGCAUCCUGGACCGACAUUGACGCUGAAAGCCGAAAGCUAGGGGAGCAAACGGG